UUUCCGUAGGUGAACCUGCGGAAGGAUCAUUACAGUGUUCCCUGCCCUUCGGGGUAGGAUCGCCACCCUUGAUUAUUUAUGAGUGUUGCUUUGGCGGGCCUCGCGGCCUGGCCGCGCCCCGGCUUCGGCGGGGGAGCGCCCGCCAGAGGAUUCUACAAACCUGAUUAUUAGCGUCGUCUGAGUACUAUAUAAUAGUUAAAACUUUCAACAACGGAUCUCUUGGUUCUG
rnacentral:misc_RNA from 1 species